rnacentral:rRNA from 1 species
AGAGUUUGAUCAUGGCUCAGAAUGAACGCUGGCGGCAUGCCUAACACAUGCAAGUCGAACGAGAUCUUCGGAUCUAGUGGCGCACGGGUGAGUAACGCGUGGGAACCUACCUUUUAGUAUGGGACAACGUUUGGAAACGAACGCUAAUACCGUAUACGCCCUCCGGGGGAAAGGUCAGCCGCUAAAAGAGGGGCCCGCGUCUGAUUAGCUUGUUGGUAGGGUAAUGGCCUACCAAGGCUACGAUCAGUAGCUGGUCUGAGAGGAUGAUCAGCCACACUGGGACUGAGACACGGCCCAGACUCCUACGGGAGGCAGCAGUGGGGAAUAUUGGACAAUGGGGGCAACUCUGAUCCAGCAAUGCCGCGUGUGUGAUGAAGGCCCUAGGGUUGUAAAGCACUUUCAACGGUGAAGAUGAUGACGGUAGCCGUAGAAGAAGCCCCGGCUAACUUCGUGCCAGCCGCCGCGGUAAUAC